rnacentral:rRNA from 1 species
AUUUUUAAAUUUUUUGCAUAUCCAAUAAGCGGAGGAAAAGAAACCAACAGGGAUUGCCCUAGUAACGGCGAGUGAAGCGGCAACAGCUCAAAUUUGAAAGCUGGCCUUCGGGUCCGCAUUGUAAUUUGUAGAGGAUGCUUUGGGUGAAACGCCAGUCUAAGUUCCUUGGAACAGGACGUCAUAGAGGGUGAGAAUCCCGUAUGUGACUGGAAAUGUUAACCUAUGUAAAGCUCCUUCGACGAGUCGAGUUGUUUGGGAAUGCAGCUCUAAAUGGGAGGUAAAUUUCUUCUAAAGCUAAAUAUUGGCGAGAGACCGAUAGCGCACAAGUAGAGUGAUCGAAAGAUGAAAAGCACUUUGGAAAGAGAGUUAAAAAGCACGUGAAAUUGUUGAAAGGGAAGCGCUUGCAAUCAGACUUGUUUAAACUGUUCGGCCGGUCUUCUGACCGGUUUACUCAGUUUGGACAGGCCAGCAUCAGUUUCGGCGGCCGGAUAAAGGCUCUGGGAAUGUGGCCUUCACUUCGGUGAAGGUGUUAUAGCCCAGGGUGUAAUACGGCCAGCCGGGACUGAGGUCCGCGCUCGGCUAGGAUGCUGCGUAAGACAGAGG